rnacentral:rRNA from 1 species
AAUGAACGCUGGCGGUAUGCUUAACACAUGCAAGUCGAACGGAAUCUUCGGAUUUAGUGGCGGACGGGUGAGUAACGCGUGAGAACCUGCCUUAGAGAUGGGGACAACAGUUGGAAACGACUGCUAAUACCCAAUACGCGGAAACGUGAAAGAUUUAUCGCUUUAAGAGGGGCUCGCGUCCGAUUAGCUAGUUGGUGGGUAAGAGCCUACCAAGGCAGCGAUCGGUAGCUGGUCUGAGAGGACGAGACAGCCACACUGGGACUGAGACACGGCCCAGACUCCUAC